rnacentral:rRNA from 1 species
UCUCAAGCAAAUUAAGAGCAUUUGGUGGAUGCCUUGGCAUCGAGAGGCGAUGAAAGACGUGGCACUCUGCGAUAAGCUGCGGGGAGGGGAGAGCACCCUUUGAUCCGUGGAUCUCUGAAUGGGGAAACCCGGCGCUUUAGCGUCAUCUCGGACUGAAUACAUAGGUUCGAGAAGCGAACCCGGCGAAGUGAAACAUCUCAGUAGCCGGAGGAAAGGACAUCAAUUGAGACUCCCCUAGUAGCGGCGAGCGAACGGGGA